rnacentral:lncRNA from 1 species
CGGUGUAAUUCCAAAUCUUGAUAGCUCCAUGCUGAUCCCAGUCACCUUCAUGAACUUUGACUCCUUGAAUGUUUUUGGAGGUGGCGGUGGGCAAUUUGUGGGUUUCACUCCUCCAAAUCUUGAAGAACUUGUCAGCUGGUGCUUUCAGUUCGACUUCAGUCUCCAGUUUUCCCUUCAAAUUAGCCAUGUUGGCACAAAUAUUGAGACUCCAAAAUUCGCGAAGCUCGUUGGAACAAUGGGUUGUGCUGAGAAAAAAGAGGUGUCGCUUGCUUCUUAAAUUGACUUUGGCGUUUCGUCUCUUCUUCAGGUCCCACACAUCAUGUUUCAUGUGGUCCUUGACAUGUUUACUAAUUAUAUCGACGUGUCAAAUUGCUAUUGGAGUGCUUUAUAAAAUGUAUUUUGGACCAAUAAAAAGAUAUGCCUGAUCAAUUAUGACCGUGGCCUGUUAAUAAUGGAUGCAAUUCAAGCCAUACAUUUUUUUUCGGUCAUUAGCAAUUAAAUGUCUAAUUCAUACAUUUCUAAUAUUCUCAUAAUGAGCUCUAAUACUCUAUGAAAGUUGCCCGUUGAAUUCAUCUUCUAAUCUGAUUGAUCUGCCAAGGUCAACUUAAGAUUAUACCGAAUGCAUAAUAUAAAGAAAGAGGUCAAUUACCUGGCCUAUAGGCGGACUCAAGGUAUAUUCGGUGAGUUAGAAGAUGCCUUCAUCAUUUCUUUAAAAUAUUAUUAUGAUGUGCAUGUGAGGGUGUUAAGCGAAAAACGUUCCAUAUUUGGCAUAUAAUUCAGUAUUUUAUUUUAUUUUAAGUUGAGCUGAGCCUAACUAGAUAAUGUAUAUAUUGGUAGGUGUAGAUUUAAGGUCUCUCUUGAGGAUCUCCAUAGGUGAAGAUAUCGGAGUUAUAUUGUGCAUCUCAACAGGUGUUUUCUCAAAAUGAGAAUUUACAAUGUGACUCAUUGAUCAUGGUGGUAGAUGGUAUCCCUCGCUUCUUCCCAAGUUUAAUUGGGCAAAGGCGAUUGAGGUAGAGUCAGAAGGGCAAACAUUAGUCAUGCAACCAUUAGCCAAAACUAGUGAGGCAAGGUAGAGAUUCAAGUUGAGAAUGUUGGUAUGGAAGGAUAUUUAAAUUAAAGAGGAGCUAGCCUAAUGCAAAAGAGUCACGUGUGGAGAGAGAUUUGUUUAAGUGGAUGUGUGAAGGUUUUAGGUGUAAAAAGUUUCUCUUAUGCUUUCUUCCCUCAAAUACCAAAUCUUUCUUUCUCUCUUUUUUUCCUUCCCCCCCCCCCCCCACAAGGCAUGAUUCAUGUGACACUUGGUAUUCUUUUUCAUGUCUUAGUCAAUCUACUAGCUAAUCGGUUUAUUAAAUGUCCAUGUGCAUUACAAAAAACAAAUCUUAUUUAGUCAAUAGCUCAUAAAUAUUCACAAAUCGUACGACUUUAAUCAUAUAAUAUUUAGCUAAUUGUAUAGAUUAGCAAAUUUUAUUGAUCUAGCACAUUGUCCAAAUCUUUCACCAAGAAAAAACAAGGAUUAUUACCUUAAACCCACUUGUCAAAGAGAUAAUCUUUUCUUAGAGUGGAAAAAUCAUCCCUAACGUGUACUUGCGUUCCAUAGUUGAAAUGGAAGGAUUUACAUUGUUUUAUGUAUGUAUGUCAAACUUUGAUUAGCCAAUUUGGUCGAAACUCCAAAGGUGCGAUCAUUGUUUUAUGCGUAUACGUACAUCCAUCACACACAUAUAUGCAUGUGGGAAAUUGUUGUCAUGGCCAAAGGAAAAAAAAAAAAGUUGGAACGUGGAAGCUGUGUGAUAAAUUGUCACAUCAUCUCAAAGUAUCGAUACAACGUAAAUGGAUAAACAAAAAUUUAGAAACCGAGUUCGUAAAUACGAGAAAAAUCUUGCAAGCGCACAACUUUGCAUGAAAACAAAGGAAUUCACUCUCUAAAUGUAUUAUAAUUAAGGAUGAAAAAGCUUUUUGUUCUCCAGACAAGAAAUUUAUUCAUGAUAGAGAAAGUUGUAACCUUAAAAGGAUAAAAUAUCUAAUUCAUAUCUUUACCAAAAAAUAUAUAUAUAUAUAUCUAAUUCAUAUUGCAAAAUAGCAGCAAGUUGAAAUUUUUAUAUUAACCACCGGGGUUUGCCUCAAUAGCCACCCUUCUCACCUGAGAAGAGAGAUGUGGAGGGUUCAAAUCCUCAUUUUCUUGAAUAGGUUGGGCUGGGGACAAUUAACUUCAUGUAUAUAUUUUGACUCUCACGUCUUAUUAAGAGAUAUGAGAAAAGUAUGAGAGUGAGUUGAAAGUUAAAGUAGGACUAAUCGAAAAAAAUCUCUAUUUUGAAAAAAUGGAUGUCCUAAACUAACUAGCCAGUACUAAUUCUAAAAUCUUAUCUUCUUAAACACUCACAUGUAAGUCUUCAUCGAAUCUCAAUAUGUAUUCUUACAAAUUCGUGCGUUAUACAUAGCAUGAACUUUCAUGCUUGUCCCAAGCCUAAUGUGAGGUUAUAUAUUUACUUCUUAAUGAACAUAUCAUACCAAUUGACAAUAUUUCUACAAAAUCAUCCUUGGAAAAAUGGAGGUUACUCCAAUUAAUAGUCAACUUUCAUGUUGUAGUCAUACUCACAUGUUAUAUCUCGUCCCCAUUGCGAGGAGAUGUCUUCACUCCAUCACUCAAGCAAUCACAAGAAUUGACGAUACUUCUACAAAUUCGUCCUUUGGGAAAGGGGAGGUAAUUCUUUGCCACUGCGAAGAUUUUAAGAAAAGGAGCUAGCUUGGCAAAUGAACUCUCUUUCGGUGAAACAUGAAAAGAACACGAUAUAACAGUCAAAAUAAUAAUAAUCAUACGUAAUUCAGUUUGCAUCCUCGACUUUUGAAUUAUAGAUCUUGUACCCUGAGAUAAAAACGUAAGCAAUCAGGGGGUCUAAACAGCUAUGUAAAAUAGACAAGGCAAAGUUUGGGUUUUUUUUUCUUUUUUUAUGAGAAAAAAAUGUGCACAGUGCAGUAAUUUUGAUAUUAUUGAAAUAACUGGACGAAUACAAAUUAAUGGGAAAAUUAAGUAUCACUUUCGUAAUUCUAAGAUACUCUAUGGUACGAAUGAAUGAUAGAUUGAACAAUAAACGGAAAGAAUUUUACGCUUGGUGCAAGCAGCAAGAAAUUUAAGGUGAGUGCAAGAAAGAAAAUGGAACUAGAAAAUGGUUGAAAAUAAGCGUGACUCGGAUAUCAUACUAAAUGAUCCAGCUUAGAAAUCAGAAGGUUUAAUCAAGUGGUAAGCUUGUUCGUCCUUUUUUAUUCAGGACUUGAAUUUGAAUCGCUAUGUUUGCACAUUCUUCCAGGACCACUCCAAAGAACAUAGACCAACGUGUCUCGAAUAAUUACACACCCAAAAUAGGUGGUAUAAGAGGACUGUCACGCAUGGUAAGAAUAAGUUAGAUGUUCAAAACAUUCUGGACAUCCCAUUAAGUUCUGAAAAUAAUAAAGCACCAACAAUUAAAUGGUCGACAAGGCGAUGCAAAUUUUAACUAUCGUAAAAUAAAGAUUAAAUAGCGAAGUGAAUUACCACCCUAACAUAAAAAGGAUGAAUUCAUAAAAAAAAUUUCCUCCUCCGGCAAGAUCCUAAAUCUUCUCCGUUGGGAUGAUCCAAAGGAAUGGGGCAGAGUCGAUGUGGCCUUCCUUUGGGCUCAAGAUUCGAAAUUCAAGAAACUUAACUUUACUUAGGAAAAAAAAUCAAAUCGAUAUAGCCUCCAUCGUUUCGCAAAAAAAAAAAAAAAAUCAUUUUUCAAUAAAUAAUAGUAUUUUUUGGUAUUUGGCUGAAAUCUUAAAUGAAUUGGAAUAUAUUUUCCGUCGUUUGGUAGGAUAAUUAGAUUUUGAAGGAAAAUAUUACCCAAAAAAUCGAAUUUUUAAUUAUUUUUUCUCUCUUUUUUUUCCUUCUUCCUUGGCAAGUGGCCGACCAUGAUGAUGGCCACUAGCCACAAGCAAGAGACAAGCUCACUAGCCUUGGGUAAGCUUGUCCCUCAAUGAAGAAGGAAAAGGAAAAGAAAAAACAAAAAAAAAAAGAGAGCAAAAAAAUAAUUAAAAACAUGAUUUUUUAAAAAUAUUUUUAUAAGAAUGAAUAAUUCAUUAAUCAAGAACUCAAGCCCGAGCAGUGAGGACCCGCACAUGGCCUUUGUGGACCAGAGCUCGAGUAUGGAGGACUCGAGCAUCUCCCUUAUAGACUUAGGCAAAAGUGCCGAAGAAUCAAGCAUGGGCACUAGGGGUUUGGGCACAGCCUCAAUGGACCCGGGCAUGGGCCCAAGCCCAACCACCGGAGACCUAACGUUAGAGCUUUCAUGUCCAGGUAUAGAAUUUAUGGUCCAAACGCAAAUAUUUACUAGUUUUUCAAAGAGGGAAAUCAUUGUCCUAAAUUUAAGCACGGUUUUCCAUGGAUUAGGAGAAUGUUUUUUCUGAAAAUGUUUCCUGCAAAAGAAAGAAGGCCUUGAAAUUAGUUAAUCUUUCCACAAGUGGAAAUUAUAGCAUUCCUCGCAUAUCGAGUAAUAAUUGUCCUUGAACCAAAUAUAGUCCAGGCAUAGCAGAAAUCUAGAGGACGGACAUGUCUACUUUCAGAAUUAAUAACAUCAUGACUUUGUUUCGCUUUCAGUAUAUAGGAUUACGGAAAUCUAUCUUUAGAAAGAUAUGCGCCACCACUUGAACUAUUUUUAGGAUCACGUGGUAAGUAAUAGCACAUCAACAUAGUCGCAUGUAAGAUUUUCAAUUUUCAAUGCUUGACAACAUUAAGAACAACUCAAGCAAUCGCUUGUAAGCUGCACCUCACAUUUGACAGCGAAAUUGCAACGAUAAUCACGAUAUUAAGGUGCGGGCCAAAAGUUAUUGAAGAAUAUUACGAUUCAUGCAACAAAGAUUCUUGAUUAUAGGAUAUUUUCUUUUCUGGUCAAUUAGGCUAAAGCUCAAUAUGUGAAAAAUCACCCGAGGAACAAUCUAAAAUUCCCAAAAAGUCUCCAGAAUAUGUCUAAAAAUCGUGUGCAUCAAAUCAUCUACACUACAGAAAUAUAAUCUUUAUUCAAUUUUAAUCAAUUUGUAUUUCGAUGCUGUUUAUUGCGAUUAAAUUCAGGUAUCAACAUGAUGCGAUUACUCUAUGUAUUCUCAUGCGCAAUUGAAAUGGUCAAGUAAACACGCCCAAAGUCCACAUCUUGGACAGUAAUCUGCGGAGGGAUCAAAUCAAAGGAUGUACUACCUUACCCCAAACAAAUAAUUUUGCAAAAACCACGAGUGUCUUAUUACAAGCACAAUUACACAUGAAGACAAUAUACCAAAUCUCAUAUUCCCAAACACAACUAAACUUCACAUCACCCGAUCGACCAGCUUGAUUUAUUGGAUCAUCCCGAUACAUGGAAGUAUCAGAAAUCUCAAGCAUUAUAUAGCGAAACUUCAUAUACGAUAAUAGUCAUGCCAUGAUCCUUUCCUUCAUGCGCUUGCGAGGUGAGCAUCGAUAUCCUUGGUCAUAUCGAUGACCACGGCCAUGUACUUGUCGGGGCUAGGGUCACUCUCCUUGUACUUCUCGUACUCGAUGCUCAGCUUGGCCACACUGCCUUGCACUUUUGGGACGACUUUGCACCCCACCUUGUAGACCUUCCACGUGUCCAGGAUAUGGCCCUCGAUGCCGUGCAGGGUGAACGACAUGUUGUCAUCAUCGAACUCGACCUUCUCUUUGAACACUUCGGAUUUUCCUUCUAUAUAAUCGCACCAGCAAAAAUAUAAGGUUCGAGUUAGGCACGGCCGUCAAUUUAAUUUCAAUGACAACAUGGAAUAAAACUGAUAAUUAGACAGAUCAAAUUGAACCAAUUACCAACGGUGUAAUUCCAAGUCUUGAUAGCUCCAUGCUGAUCCCAGUCACCUUCAUGAACUUUGAUUCCUUGAAUGUUUUUGGAGGUGGCGGUGGGCAUUUUGUGGGUUUCACUCCUCCAAAUCUUGUAGAACUUGUCAGCUGGUGCUUUCAGUUCGACUUCAGCCACCAGUCUUCCCUGCAAAUUAGCCAUGUUGGCACAAAUAUUGAGACUUCAAAAUUCACCAAGUUCGUUAGAACACUGGCCUGCGUUGAGAAAAAAGUAGCGUUACUUGUUUCUUAUAUAGACUUUGGCGUUCAUUUUCGUCUCUACUUCAGGUCCCACACAUCAUGAUUCACAUGGUCCUUGAUAUGUUCAUCAAUUAUAUCUCCCUGUCAAAUUGUUAUUGGUUUAUAAAAUGUAUUUUGGACCAAUAAAAAGAUAUGACCGAGCGAUUACAGCUGUGGCCUGUCAAAUAAUUGAAGCAAUUCAAGACUUCUAUCUAUAUCGGUCAUCAGAAAUUAAAGGCCUAAUUCAUUCAUUUCUUAUUUUCUCAUAAUGAGUUCCAAUAUUCUAUGAAAGUUGCGAGUGGAAAUCAUCUUCUACUCUGAUUGAUCUGCCCAGGUAAACUUAAGAUUAUACCCGAUGCAUAAAAUAAUGAAAGAGGUAACUUACCUGGCCUACAGGUGGACUCUCAGGUGUAUUUGGUGAGUUAUAAGAUGCCUUCAUCAUUUCUCUAUAUUAUUAUGAUGAUGCGCAUGAGAGGGUGUUAAAGCCAAAAAAAGGUUUUAUAUUUGACAUAUAAUUCAUUAGUUUUAAUUUUUUAAGUGGAGAUGAGCCUAACUAGAUAAUAGAUGUAUUGAUAGGCGUAGAUUUGGGGUCUCUCUUGAUACAGGUGAAGAUAUCAGAGUUAUGUUGCACAUCUCAAUGAGUGUUUUCUCAAAAUAAGAAUUUACAAUGUGACUCUUUGAUCGUGGUGGUAGAUGGUAUCCCUUGCUUCUUGCCAAGUUUAAUUGGGCAAAAGCGAUUGAGGUAAAGUCAGAAGGACAAACGUUAUUCACGCAAAUUUGGCAAGGCCAAGGUAGAGAUUCGAGUUAAGAAUAUUGGUACAGAAGGACCUUUGAAUUAAGGAGGAGCUAGCCUAAGGAAGAGACUCAUGCUUGGAGGGAGAUUUGUUUAAGUGGAUGUGUGAAGGUAUUAGGUGAAAAAAGUCUCACUUCAGUUGAUAAGGUGUAAGAUGGAGCAAUUUAUUUGGCUCAAUAAAUAAUUGGUUUAAGCUUUUGAAGGUGCAGAUGAGUCUAACUAGAUAAAUUGAUAGGCUCAGAAUUGGGCUCUCUCAAGAUGUGGUGUAAAGUGAGCAAUUAAUUUAGCCGACUAACUCAUUGGUUCAAGUUUUCGGAGUGGAGAUUGAUAAUGCUAGUACGAGUACCUAGAGGGGGGGUGAAUAGGUUUAUAAAAUUUCUUGAAGAUUGCACAAUACUUAGACAGAUGAAUGAUUAAAGAAUCAAUCGUAAGACUGAGUAAAGGAAAGAGAGAAUUAAACACGAGGUUUAUAGUGGUUCGGCUUGAUUCAAGCAUACGUCCACUCUUCUGCACUGACAGCCGAUUGGCUGGAUUCCACUAUGAACAAAGAGAUGUUACAGUGUUGAUCUUCCUUGAUUUCUCGAUGUAGAUGAUCUACUACACUCGCUCAAGGUAUCACCAAGUAUAAACACUCUCUGUGUGUACAAUUUCGCUCGAACUGUAUCGACUAACAAUCAAGGUUCUUCAGACUCUGGAAUUUUUCUAUCGAUCACACACUUAAAACAACUACAACGUCUUCCUUUUAUACUCCUUUAUGUCAUCAUAGCCGUUGGCACUUACCAAAGGAAUUCCUCCAACCUACCCGUUGGUCGGAAUCAAUUAAGAAGAUCAUCCGAGCUAUUUAAGGAAUCUGAUGAUAGCCCAUCAAUCAUGUUCGCCCAUACAAUCAGGAUUUUGGUUUCCAAGAAUAGAACAUUCCAAGAAUGUUUCGUCGACCAUCGGAUCUUCUAUUGUUCUUAAAUGAGAAUCAAAAAAUCCGUAGUGAUUAUCCAACCAAGGGAUCUUUUCCAGAGGAUUGGAUCGAAUCCCCAACCAUAUACUUCGGCUUCGGAUAUCCUUCGCCACUGGAUUAAGAAGACUGUCGGUGAGAAUAAUCUUGAGUCUUGAGUCUUGAGUCUUGAGUCUUGAGAUUACAAAGUCUUGAGACUUUAACUAUCGAUAUCCAGACUAGACUGAUAGAAAGCAAUUAAUUUAGCCGACUAACUCAUUGGUUCAAGUUUUCGGAGUGGAGAUAAGUCUAAUUAGAAGUAUUGAUGGGUUUGGAGUUGGACUCUCUCUUCUCCAUCUCCCCAAGUGAAGGUAUUAAGCUGCUUCUUUUACACUCCUAACAAUUGUUACACAUUAAUAUACUAAAUAUACUAAGAUCAGUCUAUAAAGUUUUGUACACUAAGCGACAAGACGGAGUGUAAGUAAACAUAUAAUCAAGUUGAUCAUUGUCCAGACCCAAUAAAAAGCCUGUCAUGUCGUAUAGUAUACAAUUUUGUGUUAUUGUCUCAAUAUACUUAGCCACAAAAAAGUCGACCAUUGAUGCUUGACCGACCAUUUCAAGAAAAAAUUUCAACACAAGACUUAAUGGAGAGACCGUAUACUCCAAAUUGACCAUAAGAGGCCAUUCUACCCUCCACGCACAAUUGCCAAAAACACUGGUGGAUGGAUGCUUGCUUUAGUUGACCAACAUUUCCCGGAUAUAAGAGUUAACCAACAAUUGUAGCAAACUAGUUGAAGAUUGUUUGGUAGGCACUUGCAACCUUACCCUCUUGAUGAAGGAUCUGUGGUUCACAAUCUCCAUUACGGACGCGGUGCUCAUGUUUUUUGGCAUCCAUUUUGUUAUGUUUUGCUAUGAGAGGACAGGACAACUGCAUUUAAUUACGGUCUUGGAGUGGUGUCUUAUGAUCGAGUACUUUUUCUAUAUAAUGUGGCUGUUGAUUGGUUUUCAAUCGCGGCAAAUUGCUUGAUCCAAAUUAGGGUUCGAAGAAUUUUGAUAAUGGCUUGAUCUGUCUGAAUUAUGGUUUAUAUGUAGGGCAAAACAUAAAGACCAUGUUGUUUAGGAGGCACACUAGCUAGCCGCGUCAACUUGGGAAAUUAAUAAAAUAUUGUCAUGUCAAAUUUCCAGCAUCCAAAAUUGAAAUUGUUACUCAAGUGAUUCGACGAAACACAAGUGUCAUAACUUUCGUGCUAAAGUGAUAUACCUUUUGUUUCAACCAUUUGAAUCGAAAUAAAAAAAGAUGGUGGACUUUAAAUAACCAUAUUUUGCUUUUUGAAACCCCAAUCAAUCUUCAAGACACCAAAAAAAAAAAAAAAAAAUUAAGGGCUAAUCAACGGCCUUAGUCUUACCUGCAAUGUAUUCCAAAUCUUAUAUAAUAUCUUAGCUGGCGAUUUCAGCUCCAAUUCGCCAUGCAAUGUCAUUUUGCGUUUUCGAAACGAAGAGUUAACUAAAGUUCAAAAUAUGAACGCUCAUGUGCAAACAAGUUAGCAUGGAUACACUUCAUAUGUAUAGAUGAUGAAGGCCCCCGAUUGCCAUUAUUUAUGUUUCUACAGGGCCGUGCAAGGCAUGAUUCAUGUGAUCCUUGGUAUUCGUUUUCAUGUUUUAGUCAACCUUCUAACUAAUCGGUUUAUUAAAUGAGCAUGCGCAUUGCCAAAAAAAAAAAAAUCUUAUUUAAUUAAUAGCUCGUCAAUUUUCACAAAUCGCACGACUUUAAUCAUAUACUAAUUUAGCCAAUUGUAUAGAUUCGCAAAUCUUAUGGAUCUAGCACAUUGUCCAUAUCUUUCGCCAAGAAAAAAUGAGUCCUACCCUAAACCCACCUGUCAAAGAGACAAUCUUUUCCUAGAGUGCUAAGAUCAUUCCUAUCGUGUGCUUGUGGUCCAUAGUUGAAAUGGGAUUUACAUUGUUUCAUUUAUGUAUGUCAAAAUGCGAUUAGCCGAUUUGGUCAAAACUCCAAAGGUGCGAUCAUUGUUUCGUGUCUAUAUGUACAUGCAUGACACACAUAUAUGCAUGUGUGAAAUUGUUGUCACCGCCAAAGAAAAAAAAGGCUAGAAUGUGAAGACUACGUGAUCAUUGUCAUAUCAUCUCAAAUUAUCUAUACAACAGAAAUGGAUGAACCGAAAUAUAGAAACUAAAGUCCGCAAAUACGAGAACAAUCUUGCGAACGCACAACUUUGCAUGAAAACAAAGGAAUUCUCUCUCUCUCUCUCUCUCUCUCUCUAAAUGUAUUCUGAUCAAUAAUGAAAAAGCUUUUUGUUCUCCUAACGAGAAACUUAUUUGUGAUAGAGAAAAAUGUAAUCUAAAAAUUAUAAAAAUAUCUAAUUCAUAUCACAAAAUAACAGCAAGUUCAAAAUAUAUAUAUCUUUAAAAAAGGAUUUCCUGAAUUAACUAAACUAAUAAUUCUAAAAGCUUAUCUUCUUGAACACUCAUGUAGGUCUUCAUCAAAUCAUAAUGUAUGUUCUUACAAAUUUGUGCAUUGUAAAUUGAAUGAAUUGUUUAUUGAAGACAGCAUUGCUCUUUAAUUGAUAUGAUGAAGAUAUCAUCGAAAUGAUAUAUUUGAUAUGAUUGCCCUUGAUUGAUUUAUUGGGAUAUUGUACAUGGAAAAUUGAUUUUUCCGACAAAAUCAUCCUUGAAAAAUGGAGGUACUCCAAUUAAUAGUCAACUUUCAUGUUGUAGUCAUACUCACAUGUUAUAACUCAACCCCAAUAAGAGGAGACGUCUGCACUCCAUCACUCAGGCUAUCACAAGAAUUGACAAUACUUCUACAAAUUCGCCCUCCGGGAAAAGGGAGGGACUUCCUUGCCACUGCGAGGAUUUUAAGAAAGGGAGCUAGCUUGGCAAAUGAACUCUCUUUCCGUGGAACAUGAAAAGAACACGAUAUAACCGUCGAAACAAUAAUAAUCAUCCAUAAUUCAGCUUGCAUCCUCGACUUUUGAAAUAUACAUCUAGUACCCUGAGAUAAAGACGUACGCAAUCAUGGGGGUCUAAACAGCUGUGUAAAAUAGACAAGGCAAAGUUUGGUUUUUUUAUGAGGAAAAAAAAAAACAAGGUACAAAGCACAUUAAUUUUGACAUUAUUGAAACUACUGGAUGAAAAAAAAUAAUAAUGGAAAAAUGAAGGAUCACUUUCGUAACGCUAAGAUACUAUAUGGCACGUAUGAAUGAUAGAUUGAACAAUGAACGGAAAGAAUUUUACGCUAGGCACAAACAGCAAGAAAUUCAAGGUGAGUGCAAGAAAGAAAAUGAACUAGGAAAUGGUUGAAAAUAAGCAUGACUCGGAUAUCAUACAUACUAAAUGAUCCAACAUAGAAAUCGGAAGGUUUAUUCAAAUGGUAAUCAUGUUCGUCCUUCUUACUCAGGACUUGAAUUUGAAUCGCUAUACUUGCACAUUCUUCUAGGACCACUCCAAAGAACAUAGACCAAUGUGUCUCGAAUAAUUACACACCCAAAAUUUGUGGUAUAAGAGGACCGUUGCGCAUGAUAAGAAUAAGUUAGAAGUUCAAAACAUUCCAGACAUCCCAUUGAAUUCUGAAAAUAAUGGAACCCUAACACUUAAAUGGUCAACAAGGCGAUGCAAAUUUUAUCUAUCGUAAAAUGAAGAUUAAAUAGCUAAGUGAAUUACCAACCUAACAAAAAAGGAUGAAUGCAUAAAACAUUUCCCUCCUUCGGCAAGAUCCUAAAUGUUCUUUUGUUGGGUGAUCCAAAAGAACGGGGUAGAGUCGAUGUGGCCUUCCUUCCGGCUCAAGAUUCGGCUUAGUCCUAGAAAAAAUAAAUUCAAGAAAUUUAACUUUACUUAAGAAAAAAAUUAAAUCAAUUUAGUAUGGGUUCGUUUCAUGGAAAAUGUGACGUUUUUAGAAAAUAUUUUUCAAAAAGUCAUUUUUUAAGAAAAUGAUAAUAUUCUCAGAUGUUCAGCUAAAAUCUGAAAUGAACUAAAAAAAAAUAUUUUUUACCGUUUGAUAGGAUAAUUAGAUUUUCAAGGGAAAAAUUACCAAAAAAAAUCAAUUUUUUUAAUUUUCUUUUCUUUUCCUUCUUUUUAUUUUUCCUUCUUCCUCAGCCAGUGACCAACCGCUAGGCGUCGGCCAUCAUUGCGGCCGACCACUACUCGAGGAAGAAGGAAAAAAGAAAAGAAAAACGAGAAAAAGACAAAAGAUAAAUAAUUAAAAACUUGAUUUGUUUAAAUAUUUUUAUAAGAACGAAUAAUCCAUUAGUCAAGGACUUGAGCUCAAGUAUCGAGGACUUGCAUAUGACCUUUGUGGACUAGAGCUCAAGCAUCGAGGAUCCGAGUAUGUCCUUCAUGGGCUCCAGCCUAGGUGCCGAAGAAUCGAACAUGGGCACCAGGGGUUUGGGCACAGCCUCAAUGACCCCGGUGUGAACCCAAGCCCUAUCACUAGAGACCUUAUGUUAGAACUUUUGUGCUCAAGCGUAGAAUUUUCAAUUUAAAUGCAGAUAUUCAGUCAUAUUUUGGAAAAUAUUUUUCAUUUUUUCAAAGGAGACAAUCAUUUUUUCUAAAUUUAAGUGUAGUUUUCCAUUGACUAGGAAAAUAUUUUCCCGAAAAAAUGUUCCCUGCAAAACAAACAGAGCCUUGGAAGUGGUUCAUCUUUUACGAGUGGAAAUUAUAGCAUCCCUUGCAAAUUGAGUAAUAACUGUCCUUGAACCAAAUAUAAUCUAAGCAUGGCAAAAUUCUAAAGGACAGGGACAUGUCUGCUUUCAGUAUUAAUAAGAUCAUGGCAAUUAGAUUUCGCUUUGAGGAAAUAGGGUUACGGAAAUCUAUCUCUAGAAAGAUAUGCGCCACCACUAAAACUAUCUUUUGGAUCACUUAUUUAACCGUGGUAAAGUCAUAGCAUAUCAUCAUAGUCGCAUGUAAGGUUUUCAAUUUUUAAUGCUUGACAACAUUUUGAACAACUCUAACAAUCGCCAAUAAGCUGCACCUCAUAUUCGACAGCGGAAUUUUUAACCAUAGUCACAAUAUUAAGGUGCAGGCGAAAAGUUAUUGAAGAAAAUUAGGAUUCAUGCUACAUAGAUUCUUGAUUAUAGGAUAUUUUCUUUUCUGGCCAGUUAAGCUAAAGCUCAAUACAUGAAAAAUCACGCGAGGAACAAUCUAAAAUUCCUAAGAAGUCACCUGAAAUACGUCUAAAAAUCGUGUGCAUCAAAUCAACUACUCUACAGAAAUAUAAUCUUUAUUCAAUCUUAAUUAAGUUGUGUUUCGAUGUUGUUUAUUGUGAUUAGGUAUUGUCACGGUGCGAUUUUAUAUUCUUAUGCGCAAUUGAAAUGGUCAAGUAAACGCGCCCACAGUCCAAAUCUUGAACGGUAAUCUGUGGAGGGAUCAAAUCAAAGAAUGUGCUAGCUUCCCCCAAACAAAUCAUUUUGCAAAAACCACAAGCGCGUUUUAUUACAAACACAAUACCACAUGAACACAAUACACGAAAUCUCAUAUUUCCAAACCCAACUAAACUUCAGAUCACCUGAUCAACCAGCUUGAUUUAUUGGAUCAUCGCCAUACGUGGAAGUAUCAGAAAUCUCAAGCAUUAUAUAGCGCUACUUCAUAUCCGAUAAUAGUCGUGACAUGAUCUUUUCCUUCAUGCGCUUGCAAUGUGAGCAUCGAUAUCCUUGGUCAUAUCGACGAGCACAGCCAUGUACUUGUCGGGGCUAGGGUCACUCUCCUUGUACUUCUCGUACUCCAUGCUCAGCUUGGCCACACUGCCUUGCCCCUUUGGGACGACUUUGCAAGCCGCUUUGAAGACCUUCCACGUGUCAAAGAUGUGGCCCUCGAUGCCAUGGAGGGUGAAUGACAUGUUGUCGUCAUCGAACUCGACCUUCUCUUUGAACACUUCGGAUUUUCCUUCUAUACAAUUACACCGGCAAAAAUAGAAGGGUUAAGUUAGAGACUGCUGUCAAUUUAAUUUAAGUGACAACAUGGAAUAAAAUUGAUAAUUAGAGAGAUCAGAUUGAACCAAUUACCAACGGUGUAAUUCCAAAUCUUGAUAGCUCCAUGUUGAUCCCAGUCACCUUCGUGAACUUUAAUUCCUUGAAUGUUUUUGGAGGUGGCGGUGGGCAUUUUGUGGGUUUCGCUCCUCCAAAUCUUGUAGAACUUGUCAGCUGGUGCUUUCAGUUCGACUUCAGCCUCCAGUUUUCCCUGCAAAUUAGCCAUGUUG